rnacentral:rRNA from 1 species
CGCUGGCGGCGUGCCUCAGACAUGCAAGUCGAACGAUUAAAGCUCUCUUCGGAGAGUGUAUAGAGUGGCGCACGGGUGAGUACACGUAGUAAUCUACCUCGAGUGGGAAUAACAACCGGAAACGGUUUGCUUAAUACCGCAUAAUGCAGCGGCACCGCAAGGUGACAGUUGUUAAAGAUUUAUCGCUUGAGGAGGAGCUUGCGGCAGAUUAGCUAGUUGGUAGGGUAACGGCUUACCAAGGCUACGAUCUGUAACCGGUCUAAGAGGACGGUCGGUCACACUGACACUGAAUAACGGGUCAGACUCCUACGGGAGGCAGCAGUCGGGAAUUUUGGGCAAUGGGCGAAAGCCUGACCCAGCAACGCCGCGUGAAGGAUGAAGUAUUUCGGUAUGUAAACUUCGAAAGAAUAGGAAGAAUUAAUGACGGUACUAUUUAUAAGGUCCGGCUAACUACGUG